ensembl:lncRNA LBX2-AS1 LBX2 antisense RNA 1
UUCUGGGAUUGUUUUCUCUUUCAGAAAGCGCUACUGCGGAGUGAACCGGUCCUUAUAUCUUAGUUUCGUGACUUUGGGGGCGGCAGGCCUGUGAGUUGUUUUCCGCCCUGGACGCUGUUUUGCAAAGAUCUCUGCGCGCCCACCGCCACCCUCCCGGGCGUGCGGGCCGGGAAGCAGCCAGCGGUGGGAAACUCCGACGCCCUCCUCGACACUUUUCUCCCCCCAACUCCCCAAGACUCACUUCUAGGGAAGUCCUUUUUCCCAUCAAGCCCUGGGAAAGACUGGCCAGGCUGAGAGAGGGACCCGUCCUCCUCUGUGCCAAAGGCGGGAGCAAAUCCUGGUGCUGUCGCCUUUGGAUGUGAGUCCUGGAAAUGGCGGGGGUGAGGAAGGUGGGCAGGGGCAAGGUUUGGCCCUCAGGCGAGAACCGACGCCUUGUCCCGGAAGCGCAGCACGGCCGAGUGCGUCCGGGGGUGCAGACGGCGCCCUGGGGUGGUCCUGCCGCCACCUCUCCUUUGACUCAGGAGCGCCGCGCCGCGUCCGGGCGCGUUCUCAGUCGCGCGAAGCCAGAGAGGACCCUGGGCGUGAUUCUCCCUCCCUGGCACAGACGGAGACCCGAGUGACCCCGGGGUCCGGGUGGGCGUGGGGAAUGGACCCAUAGACCCGGGACGAGCGGCGCGGAGCCCGCAGCUGGCCAGCUUCAGCCACCUUGGGAGACGCAGUGCAGCUGCCGCUGCUGACAGACAAGACCAAGGCUCGGCUGGGCCCCACCCCAGAUCCGGCCUGAGCGCCUUCCGCGCUGCUCGGCCUCAAGGCGAAACUUUUCGCGCAGAAACUCCUGGAGAACAGCCCCGGCCGCCAGGUACUCGCCCGCCCGGACCGCAAAGCCCACAGAGCUUCAAUUCGCAGGAAGGGGAGUGGGGAGCCCUGAGCUGGGGUGUUCCUGGAAGAGGUCGGGGAGCGGGGGGAGAGGCAUUCCAGGCUGGAGGCCUGGAAACGUUUGGAAGCUUUGCUAACCUUGGAGACCAUGUCAGGAAAGAAGCGUACCCAGGCCGUCUGCUGUGUGCCCACCCCGAUCCCCAUCAGUGCCCCACGCACUCGAGCUCUUCUUCGGCGUCUGCAGCCUCUUCAUCCGCGCGGAGAGGCGGAGGUCUCCCGGAAACAGUGUCCGACUGUGGCACCCCAGAGCGUCCAAUGCGAGCUCAGGCCUUUCCCGCAAGUCUGGAGUUUUCUUAUCCAGUUGAGGCCGCCUUCGCUGUACUCACUCUCUGCCUCCCACCCCAUCUUCUGCCACCCGACCUCCAUCUUUGAUGGUUAGCGCCUUCAGCCCUCAACAGCUUCGCACAACCAACCCCUAGAAGCCGUGGAGUCAGACCGGCCAGGGUGGGACCUAGGUUUUAACUCGGGUUCUGGCUACACACGCUGCGCCUCCAUACAGUUUGUCCCAGGUUUGGCAGCAGGCCGGCUACCUUCAGGAAUUCUUUGCUUUGGCUUCUGUCUGUUCCUGUCUGUUGGGCAAGUUUCUAGCUACCCCACUGAGAGAACCAUAGAACAAGGACCCUGGCAUGGCAUACAGACAAGGAAUGUUUGCUGAAUUAAUGGAGCUGGUGCCUUGCAGCUUCCCUUUUGUUCCUUGAAGUUGCCCUUGCUCUCCUCCACAUCAGCUCCCUCUCCUCCUCAGCUACUUAUUCCCCACCCUGGCUUCUUCUAGUCGCAGUCCCCAAGUACUUGCUGAAUCCUGUAUGGACAGCCUAAGCCUCCAUUUCUGACAAUUCCUGUGGCCCCACUCCAUUUGUUUUUUAGACUUCUCCCUCCUUUUUGUCCCCAUCCCCCAAGUUAUAAAACUAUAAUGCAA